UCUUAUACAAUUGGUUUUCUUCUCAACCCCAACCAAAGAACAGAUUCUGGUAACUGUCUUUUUACCAAAGACAGCAAAAAAAUCUCAUUUUACUGCAAGGAAGUUAACUAUAAUUGGUACAGGGAAAAAAACCACCUUGGUUUCUCACAAGGCACAGCAUCACUGGAGGAAAAAGCUAGCCAUAGUAAUUUAUAUAUAAGUAGAAGGAAAAGUUUUGUACAAGUUUUGUCUAUUUAAAGGAGGUCCCACAUCCUCAAGGAAGCAAGUCUGAAGCCCCAGUUAUUACAGGGCCAGAAGCAGAGUGUAAACACGUCGACCCGCAUGGGCAACCACUGUUGUUGGAAACACACGGUAAUGGAGUUCUGCUCAAUAAUCUGUGUGCAACUGCUACAAGAGUGAGAGGAGGAAGUACAAAGGAAGAAAUAAGGAGCAAUCGUAGUGAAGACCCAGCUUCUUUUUCUCAUCUCCCAAGCAAGUCUGGACUGGGAAUACUGUAGACUCCUGCUGACAGAACAAGAGCAGCUGUUCUGGAUAGAGAAUUGCUGGGGACACAACAAAGGAGAAAAUAAAGGCUUUAAAAAGGUGUAUAUUU